UACGGAGGGUGCGAGCGUUGUCCGGAAUCACUGGGCGUAAAGGGCGCGUAGGCGGCCUGGCAAGUCGAUGGUGAAAGCCCGAGGCUCAACUUCGGGUCGGCCACUGAUACUGCUGGGCUUGAGUCGACUAGAGGCAGAUGGAAUUCCGGGUGUAGCGGUGGAAUGCGUAGAGAUCCGGAAGAACACCGGUGGCGAAGGCGGUCUGCUGGGGUGAGGCUGGACGCUGAUGCGCGACAGCGUGGGGAGCAAACAGGAGUUAGAUGACC
rnacentral:rRNA from 1 species